CAUAGGCAGUGGCUUGGUUAAGGGAACAGAACCCACAGGAGCCAUAGCGAAAGCAAGUCUUAAUAGGGCGAUUGUCACUGCUUAUGGACCCAAAUCUGGGUGAUCUAUCCAUGACCAAGAUGAAGCUUGGAUGAAACUAAGUAGAGGUCCGAACCGACUGAUGUUGAAGAAUCAGUGGAUAACCUGUGGUUAUGGGUGGCUGUACGACUCGCUUCCCCGGCCGCAUGACCAGUUCGG
rnacentral:ncRNA from 1 species